CAAGGUAGAGAGGCCCAGGGUUGAGUCGAUUCCCAGGCAGAAUUAGGGAAGUGUGUCUGGUGAAGGCAUGGAGAAGGGAGGAAACGUGAAGGAGCGGCUGAGUCGGGGGCAGGGUGGGGGGUGCAGAGUUGGAGUGGUAAGCGAGCACAGGUGAGGCAGGGCCUGGUCAGCUCUGAUGAGACCCUUGGCCUAUCGUAGCAGGUGGUGGCAUGAUGGACAUUUUAGAAAGAGCUUCCUGGCUGCUGUGUGGAGCGUGGCUGGACACAGGAUCACACGACCACACUGAAAACAGCCAGCAACAAACUGCCGAGCACUUUACAAAGCGUUUCCUACCAGGAACUCCUGUAGCCACCUGAUCAUCCACUAAGCAUUUACCUGAAAAUGAGCACUUCCUUUAGUCACGAAUGCCAACAACAACCGACAGUGACGUUAGUGGUGCCAAGCAUUCGUCAACAACAAGAUACUGCAGAUGCAUUCAUAACACCACUGUGGCAGCAUCUGGAAACAUCACUUCUGCUCAUCACAAACCCAGAGUUACAGCUGUUAGACCAGCCAGUUGGACACUACUAUCUAAAGUGUUAACAAAGGAGCACAUAUAUUUCAACAUCAUAAAUUUUUAAAGUAUCUCAUAACUGAAUCUGAAAAGAACUGGUUUCCUUUGUAACCCUACAUAUUUUGUUUUAUAUAAGGAAAAGCAUUAUUCUGAGAAGGGGUCCCUAGGCUUCACCCGACGGCCAAAGUGCUCACAAGGAGUUCGAUUUCUACUCCAGGAGGGACGGAGAACUGCUGACGUGCUUUCCACAGGUUUCAUGGGCUGCAGCCUCCGGGUUGCAAAGUCACCCUGCCUGUGGGAGAAGACUGUGCUCGUACAAGGUGGUGCCAAAGGCAAGUGAGGGCAUGGCCUACUCCGACCUCUGUCCUGGGCAAUCUGGAGGGGGCAGUGCCCCUGGGGCCUCGAGGGCUCUUCCCAAGCCUCUCCCACCCACCCACCACACCACCUCAUGCUGCCCUCUUGACCCAGAGGAGCCCUGUCACUUGGCCCAAGGCCCACCCCAGGGCAUCCUCCCAAAGAGCUUCAGGAAGUGAGCACGCGUGUCCACACGAAAAAUAAAUGCGGCCUUU